UACGUAGGUGGCGAGCGUUGUCCGGAAUUAUUGGGCGUAAAGAGCAUGUAGGUGGGAAUGUAAGUCUGUUGUUAAAAUGCGGGGCUCAACCCCGUAUUGCACUGGAAACUACAUUUCUUGAGUGCAGGAGAGGAAAGGGGAAUUCCCAGUGUAGCGGUGAAAUGCGUAGAUAUUGGGAGGAACACCAGUGGCGAAGGCGCCUUUCUGGACUGUGUCUGACACUGAGAUGCGAAAGCUAGGGGAGCGAACGGG
rnacentral:rRNA from 3 species